GACGUUUCCUUCUGGGUGCUACAAACUUCGUGGCAAACUGAAUAUACUCUGUUCAGGGUGAAAGAAAACAGCAUGCCCGUAUUAUGUGAAACCCGAGUGACACAUCAGGAAGCAAAUAACUAGUUUUUAUUAUAGACGUCAUAUUAGCAAAUUUGCCAAGUCAUUCUAACCAUAUAUACAAGUAUACUUUGUUUUGAAUAUUACUGAAACCAUGCAAAUGUAAAGGAAUACUCAAAUUAUUUACACCAAAGAAGUCUUCCCAGAUUGACCCAAUUGCCAAGAAGUAAUCCGGUGAGCAACAGUAUCACAAACAAUGUUAAGCAUAACAUUUCACGCGUUCAGACACUAAAUCCCAAAUCUCAUAAAAUUAACUAACUUGUUUUUUUAGAUCUUAAACUAUAUAUAUACACACACUAGUCGAUGGUACUAAUGUCAAAAUUUGUGUUUUAGUAUUUGGUAUGCAUAUGCAAUGUAUUAAACGAAGUUUAAUAACUACUUCCGUUAUGAUUAA